GUGGGGAAUCUUGGACAAUGGGCGCAAGCCUGAUCCAGCCAUGCCGCGUGAGUGAUGAAGGCCUUAGGGUUGUAAAGCUCUUUCGCCAGGGAAGAUAAUGACUGUACCUGGAUAAGAAGCCCCGGCUAACUCCGUGCCAGCAGCCGCGGUAAUACGGAGGGGGCUAGCGUUGUUCGGAAUUACUGGGCGUAAAGCGCACGGAGGCGGCUUUCCAAGUUGGGGUUGAAAUCCCUGGGCUUAAGCCAGGAACUGCCCUGAAAACUGGAGGGCUAGAGUCCGAGAGAGGUGAGUGGAAUUUCCAGUGAAGAGGUGAAAUACAUAGAUAUUGGAAAGAACACCAGUGGCGAAGGCGGCUCACUGGCUCGGGACUGACGCUGAGGUGCGACAGCGUGGGGAGCAAACAGGAUUAGAAACCCUAGUAGUCC
rnacentral:rRNA from 1 species